CUGUAGUGUAGUCAGUGUAUAUGAGGAUAUAUGCCCUCACAACAAGGUGAGCGGUUAGCACAUCUGCCUCACACAUCACCGUCUAUGCUGUAAUCCAUGCGUAUUCCCUGCGACAGUGUGUGUGCACUUUGUGUAAGUGCAUAUUUUUGUGGAACACUUAUAUGUGUGUUUUUCUAAUGUAGUAUUAUUGUGUGUGUGUGUGUGUGUGUGUGUGUGUGUGUGUGUGUGUGUGUGUGUGUGUGUGUGUGUGUGUGUGUGUGUGUGUGUGUGUGUGUGUGUGUGUGUGUGUGUGUNNNNNNNNNNUCUGUUAUAUCUGACAUGAGUAGAUUAAUUAUAGAUCAGACGCUUUAGCAGGUAUGUAACUCAAUAUGUGGUACAGGAGGCAUGGCCAGAGGUACCAGCCAGAGGAUCACGUGACCAAGAGGGAGAAUCGCCAUUGAGACAGCAGGACCCCUGAGGAGUGAAGACCAAAGACAUAUACAUAACCUCAAUCUAAGAAACAACUGAUGACAUGGUGUGUAAUAAUCAAGCAUUUAUAACUAAACAUUAGAUAUUUUGAUCUAAUCCAAAGCACUGCUCAAUGCCUCAAAGGCAGGAGCAGACAUGUACUGAGGGGUUGUUGAGCAAAUAUACUAGGACAUGAUUGGAUUUGACUGAAUACACAACCUACAUUAAGUCUUCAUUUCCUGUAAAGGUCACACAGAGUGCUAAACUGGGAUUAACAAGUUAACUAGAGAGAUACCUGACAGGGUCUGUGAAAGUACAUCAAAUACUUUCACAUUUCUCAUACAGACACAUGGCUUUGGAGUUUGCACUUUUGGAAUUAUUCCAAUGGUUCCAUUGUACCCAUCAAGCUAAACCAAACACAACUCAACUAUUUGACAGUAUUCAACCCGUGCAUUUGUCCCAGGUCGGGUAUUCACUGCUAUAGGAAAAAUCAUCUUAACACCUCUGAGAGACAGGAGGAGCAGCAGUAAUGAAUCAUCUGAAAAGAUGUGUCAAACUACCACUGAAGAGGUCUGUGAAAGUCACGUCAAUCCCCCGUGUCCCGUCCCGUCACAGAGCCUCCCCUUCAUCCUCACAACCCCAGUCAGGAGGCCCAUUAGCAGCCUGCAGACAGCAAGACAGGAGUCUGGCAGACACUACUGAUCAGAUUAUGGCUAAAAUUGCAUUAGUCUGGGUAGGAGUGUUUAGAGUGUUGACUGACCACCAUACUUCCCCAGAAUCUUCAUCUGCAGAGGAGAGAUAUUGAUUGAAUAUCUACAAUAAAGAAGGGGAAAGUAAGCUAUUAAUGUCUCAGCUCAGUACCACUUUUUACCACUGGGAGGGGAUAGAUAACUUGUUUUGAUUAUACAAAUAACCAAAUUCUUCACAUGAUGAGGUUAGCAGAGGACAUCGAGCAAAACAUAGUUCAUAGUUCCCUGGGUGUCUGCCUGGCAUGAGCUCCCUGGCAUGGCAAGGUUCCCUGAAUCAACUGAACCGGUGUAGGUGUGACUAAUCAGAUAAAGCCUAGAUUACAUCCUAGAUCAGAUGGGCCUUGUUGCUUGUUGCUUGUUGUUCUGGGCAGCAUUGUACACAGAGAAACACUGGAGUGGGGGAGUGGACAGGAUACGGAUGUGUGUGGUUUGCCCAUCCUCUUCACCUCUUCAUAGUGACCUCAGUCAAACCAAUAUGGUUAGAAGGAGGGCGUACUCCUUGGCUUGGCAUUGGGUUCCAUUCUUUGGCACUGUGACUUCCUGCUGGGGAGGAGUGUAAAGCUACAAUGUUUUCAGUGUCAAUUGUCAUGAAUUCAAAAGGAGAUUUCACAAGAAAAAUGUAGCUGCUGGCUCAGAAAGAACACUUCUGCACUCACACAUAAAUCCAUUUACUGUUCAGUAUGGCAGGCAGUGAAAUACAAAGCCAUUACAUUAGAGCUACACUAUAUAUACAAAAGUAUGUGGGCACCCCUUCAAAUUAGUGGAUUUGGCUAUUUCAGCCACAUCCGUUGCUGACAGGUGAACAGUGCAUUCGGAAAAUAUUCAGACCCCUUGACCUUUUUCACAUUUUGGUCCGUCAGAGCCUUAUUCUAAAAUGGAUUCAAUCAUUUUUCGCCUCAUCAAUCUACACACGAUACCACAUGAUGACAAAGAAAAACUGUUAAAA
rnacentral:lncRNA from 13 species